rnacentral:rRNA from 1 species
AUGAACGCUAGCUACAGGCUUAACACAUGCAAGUCGAGGGGCAGCAUGGUCUUAGCUUGCUAAGGCCGAUGGCGACCGGCGCACGGGUGAGUAACACGUAUCCAACCUGCCGUCUACUCUUGGACAGCCUUCUGAAAGGAAGAUUAAUACAAGAUGGCAUCAUGAGUCCACAUGUUCACAUGAUUAAAGGUAUUCCGGUAGACGAUGGGGAUGCGUUCCAUUAGAUAGUAGGCGGGGUAACGGCCCACCUAGUCUUCGAUGGAUAGGGGUUCUGAGAGGAAGGUCCCCCACAUUGGAACUGAGACACGGUCCAAACUCCUACGGGAGGCAGCAGUGAGGAAUAUUGGUCAAUGGGCGAGAGCCUGAACCAGCCAAGUAGCGUGAAGGAUGACUGCCCUAUGGGUUGUAAACUUCUUUUAUAAAGGAAUAAAGUCGGGUAUGCAUACCCGUUUGCAUGUACUUUAUGAAUAAGGAUCGGCUAACUCCGUGCCAGCAGCCGCGGUAAUACGGAGGAUCCGAGCGUUAUCCGGAUUUAUUGGGUUUAAAGGGAGCGUAGAUGGAUGUUUAAGUCAGUUGUGAAAGUUUGCGGCUCAACCGUAAAAUUGCAGUUGAUACUGGAUAUCUUGAGUGCAGUUGAGGCAGGCGGAAUUCGUGGUGUAGCGGUGAAAUGCUUAGAUAUCACGAAGAACUCCGAUUGCGAAGGCAGCCUGCUAAGCUGCAACUGACAUUGAGGCUCGAAAGUGUGGGUAUCAAACAGGAUUAGAUACCCUGGUAGUCCACACGGUAAACGAUGAAUACUCGCUGUUUGCGAUAUACAGCAAGCGGCCAAGCGAAAGCGUUAAGUAUUCCACCUGGGGAGUACGCCGGCAACGGUGAAACUCAAAGGAAUUGACGGGGGCCCGCACAAGCGGAGGAACAUGUGGUUUAAUUCGAUGAUACGCGAGGAACCUUACCCGGGCUUAAAUUGCAGAUGAAUUACGGUGAAAGCCGUAAGCCGCAAGGCAUCUGUGAAGGUGCUGCAUGGUUGUCGUCAGCUCGUGUCGUGAGAUGUUUGGUUAAGUCCAAUAACGAGCGCAACCCUUUUCCUAAGUUGCUAACAGUAAGAUGAGAACUCUUAGGAUACUGCCAGUGCAAACUGGAGGAAGGUGGGGAUGACGUCAAAUCAGCACGGCCCUUACGUCCGGGGCUACACACGUGUUACAAUGGGGGGGUACAGAGGGCCGCUACCACGCGAGUGGAUGCCAAUCCCAAAAACCUCUCUCAGUUCGGACUGGAGUCUGCAACCCGACUCCACGAAGCUGGAUUCGCUAGUAAUCGCGCAUCAGCCACGGCGCGGUGAAUACGUUCCCGGGCCUUGUACACACCGCCCGUCACACCAUGGGAGUUGGAAAUGCCCGAAGUCAGUGACCCAACCGCAAGGAGGGAGCUGCCGAAGGUGGAGCCGUUAACUGGGGUG